AUUGAACGCUGGCGGCAUGCCUUACACAUGCAAGUCGAACGGUAACGCGGGGCAACCUGGCGACGAGUGGCGAACGGGUGAGUAAUGUAUCGGAACGUGCCCAGUUGUGGGGGAUAACUGCUCGAAAGAGCAGCUAAUACCGCAUACGACCUGAGGGUGAAAGCGGGGGAUCGCAAGACCUCGCGCAAUUGGAGCGGCCGAUAUCAGAUUAGGUAGUUGGUGGGGUAAAGGCCCACCAAGCCGACGAUCUGUAGCUGGUCUGAGAGGACGACCAGCCACACCGGGACCGAGACACGGCCCAGACUCCUACGGGAGGCAGCAGUGGGGAAUUGUGGACAAUGGACGCAAGUCUGAUCCAGCCAGGCCGCGUGCGGGAAGAAGUCCUUCGGGUUGUAAACCGCUUUUGUCAGGGAAGAAAAGGCUCCUUCUAAUAUAGGGGGCUCAUGACGGUACCUGAAGAAUAAGCACCGGCUAACUACGGGCCAGCAGCCGCCGUAAGAC
rnacentral:rRNA from 1 species